rnacentral:rRNA from 1 species
GGAUAUUGGUCAAUAGCCUAACGGCUGAACCAGCAACUUGGAAGAAUGUAAAGUGAAGACUUAUUAUAUUAUAUUAAUAUAAUGUGAACUAUGUUCAUUAAAGUUCUAGAUAAAAUUAUGAUGAUGACAUUAUUUAUCUAUUAGUCUUGACCAAGUCACGUGCCAGCAGUCGCGGUAAUACGUGGAAGACAAGUGUUAUUCAUCUCUAUUAGGUUUAAAGGGUACGUAGACAGUCUAUCAAGCUUAAAUCAAGUACUAAUAGACUAGAGUUUUAUAAGAAAGAGUAGUACGGUGAGGGUAGAGAUGAAAUUCUGUGAUCCCACUUAGAAACGGAUAAAGGCAAAGGCAACUUUUUAUCUAUAAACUGACGUUAAGGGACGAAGGCUCGGUAAAUGAAUAGGAUUAGAUACCCUAGUAAUGUGAGCAGACAAUGAUGAAUGUUAUAUACAAGAAAAUUUUUGUGUAUUAAUGAAAGUGUAAGCAUUCCACCUCAAGAGUAAUAUGGCAACAUAUAAACUGAAAUCAUUAGACCGUAUCUGAAACCAGUAGUGAAGUAUGUUGUUUAAUUUGAUGAUCCACGUAAAACCUUACCACAAUUUGAAUAAAAAUAUAUAUAUAUAUAUUUUUACAAGAGUUGCACGGCUGUCUUUAGUUAAUGUCGUGAGAUUUUGGUUAGUUCCAUUAAAUUAACGCAAACCCUUACUUUAUUUAUUAUAAAGUAGUUCGCUAAUAUAUAUAUUAGAUAUGAUAUAAGGGAUUAAGACAAGUCAUCAUGACCUGAACAUUGUGGGCUAUAGACGUGCCACGUAAGCCUUAGCAAAGAGAUGCAAAAUUG